UUGAAUAUCCUGAGUUGGAAUUGCCGAGGAGGCGGGAACUCCCGGACUGCUCGUGACCUUGUGAGCUUGGUGCAGACCCACUCCCCUUGUAUUAUUUUCCUUUGUGAAACUAGGCAGUCAAAGGAUAGAAUGAAAAGAUACAUGUCUCAACUAGGAUUAAGUGGCUUUGAAGCAGUUGAUAGUGUUGGUCUUAGUGGAGGCCUUGCUUUAUAUUGGCAUGAAUCAUUGAACCUCGAAGUCAAAUCUAUGAACGAAAGACAUAUUGAUGCUUAUGUGAGUAGUGCUACGGGCCUUGGAGGCUUACAUGUGUCUACAGCGAGCCUCGGACGGAGGAUUGACACAACAUGUGGUCUCUCCUCCGUGGUAUUCACCAACAAGUGGAAAUGCCAUGGGCGGUCAUUGGAGACUACAACGAGGCCAUGUGGGGAUUUGAACAUCUAUCCCAAACACCUCGCUCGGUAG
rnacentral:rRNA from 1 species